rnacentral:rRNA from 1 species
UACGAAGGGGGCUAGCGUUGCUCGGAAUGACUGGGCGUAAAGGGCGCGUAGGCGGAUGGCACAGUCAGAUGUGAAAUUCCCGGGCUUAACCUGGGGGCUGCAUUUGAUACGUGUUGUCUUGGGUUCGGAAGAGGGUCGUGGAAUUCCCAGUGUAGAGGUGAAAUUCGUAGAUAUUGGGAAGAACACCGGUGGCGAAGGCGGCGACCUGGUCCGACACUGACGCUGAGGCGCGAAAGCGUGGGGAGCAAACAGG